rfam:Arthrobacter sp. ZBG10 contig_58, whole genome shotgun sequence.
UGAUCUGCGGCGGGAGAGUCCUGCUGUCAAGGUACAAGCAGGCGCCGUAGGAGCAAAUCCUCCCCAGGAAUCUCACAGGCCCAUGUACCGCCGCGGCGAG